rnacentral:rRNA from 1 species
GAUGAACGCUGGCGGCGUGCCUAAUACAUGCAAGUCGAGCGAACUGAUUAGAAGCUUGCUUCUAUGACGUUAGCGGCGGACGGGUGAGUAACACGUGGGCAACCCUCCUGUAAGACUGGGAUAACUUCGGGAAACCGAAGCUAAUACCAGAUAGGAUCUUCUCCUUCAUGGGAGAUGAUUGAAAGAUGGUUUCGGCUAUCACUUACCGAUGGGCCCGCGGUGCAUUAGCUAGUUGGUGAGGUAACGGCUCACCAAGGCAACGAUGCAUAGCGGACCUGAGAGGGUGAUCGGCCACACUGGAACUGAGACACGGCCCAGACUCCUACGGGAGGCAGCAGUAGGGAAUCUUCCGCAAUGGACGAAAGUCUGACGGAGCAACGCCGCGUGAGUGAUGAAGGCUUUCGGGUCGUAAAGCUCUGUUGUUAGGGAAGAACAAGUACAAGAGUAACUGCUUGUACCUUGACGGUACCUAACCAGAAAGCCACGGCUAACUACGUGCCAGCAGCCGCGGUAA